GUCUAUGGCCAUACCUCCCUGAACGCACCCUAUCUCGUCUGAUCUUGGAAGCUAAGCAGGGUCGGGCCUGGUUAGUACUUGGAUGGGAGAAAAUUUAAAACAAAAAAGUCAUAGACA
ensembl:rRNA 5S_rRNA 5S ribosomal RNA